CGCGUAGGCGGCUUGGUCAGUCGGAUGUGAAAGCCCCGGGCUUAACCUGGGAAUUGCAUUCGAUACUGCCAGACUAGAGUGUAGUAGAGGGAAGCGGAAUUCCAGGUGUAGCGGUGAAAUGCGUAGAUAUCUGGAGGAACAUCAGUGGCGAAGGCGGCUUCCUGGACUACACUGACGCUGAGGUGCGAAAGCGUGGGGAGCAAACA
rnacentral:rRNA from 1 species